rnacentral:lncRNA from 1 species
GGUGUCCACAGCACACUCCAGUGAGCCCUGCAGGGACUGCAGCUGGUGCAUGGUCUCCCGCAGCAGGAAGCGGGUCAGGAACUGCUCCAUCUUGGAGGAGGUCUCGUAGCUCCAAACAGACACACUCAUCCUGAUGCUGGAAACAGCUCUGCCUGCAGCUGUCACCUCACAGGGCUGCAGCUCUAUGCAAUGCCAGCUCCUGGCCUUGAAAGUGGAGAGGAUGCUCAUCUGCAGAGCAGGCACAGACAGCUGCAGCUGCUCUCUG